UACGGAGGGGGCUAGCGUUGUUCGGAAUUACUGGGCGUAAAGCGCACGUAGGCGGCUUUGUAAGUUAGAGGUGAAAGCCCGGGGCUCAACUCCGGAAUUGCCUUUAAGACUGCAUCGCUAGAAUUGUGGAGAGGUAAGUGGAAUUCCGAGUGUAGAGGUGAAAUUCGUAGAUAUUCGGAAGAACACCAGUGGCGAAGGCGACUUACUGGACACAUAUUGACGCUUAGGUGCGAAAGCGUGGGGAGCAAACAGG
rnacentral:rRNA from 1 species